CCUACGGGGGCUGCAGUGAGGAAUAUUGGUCAAUGGGCGAGAGCCUGAACCAGCCAAGUCGCGUGAGGGAGUACUGCCCUAUGGGUUGUAAACCUCUUUUGUCGGGGAGCAAAAUCCGGACGUGUCCGGCUGUGGGAGUACCCGAAGAAAAAGCAUCGGCAAACUCCGUGCCAGCAGCCGCGGUAAUACGGAGGAUGCGAGCGUUAUCCGGAAUUAUUGGGUUUAAAGGGUGCGCAGGCGGAUUUUUAAGUCAGCGGUCAAAUCGUGGGGCUCAACCCCAGCCAGCCGUGGAAACUGGGGAACUAGAGUGAGCGAGAGGUAUGCGGAAUGCGAUGUGAAGCGGUGAAAUGAGUAGAUAUCACGCAGAACACCGAAGGCGAAGGCAGCAUACUGGUGCACAACUGACGCUCAGGGACGAAAGCGUGGGUAGCGAACAGGAUUAGAUACCCGGGUAGUC
rnacentral:rRNA from 1 species